rnacentral:rRNA from 1 species
GACAGAGGGGGCAAGCGUUGCUCGGAAUCACUGGGCGUAAAGCGCACGUAGGCGGAUUGUUAAGUCAGGGGUGAAAUCCUGGAGCUCAACUCCAGAACUGCCUUUGAUACUGGCGAUCUCGAGUCCGGGAGAGGUGAGUGGAACUGCGAGUGUAGAGGUGAAAUUCGUAGAUAUUCGCAAGAACACCGGUGGCGAAGGCGGUUCUCUGGGCCUGACCUGACGCUGAGGAGCGAAAGCGUGGGGAGCGAACAGG